GGCUGAGAGAUCAGCUGUUCCCUUCGGGGACAGAAUGACAGGUGGUGCAUGGUUGUCGUCAGCUCGUGUCGUGAGAUGUUGGGUUAAGUCCCGCAACGAGCGCAACCCUUAUGAUCAGUUGCCAGCAUUCAGUUGGGCACUCUGGUCAGACUGCCGGUGACAAACCGGAGGAAGGCGGGGAUGACAUCAAAUCAUCAUGCCCCUUAUGACCUGGGCUACACACGUGCUACAAUGGGUGGUACAACUAGCAGCAAUUCCGCAAGGUCAAGCGAAUCUCUAAAAACCAUCACUCAAUUCAGAACUGCAAGAUGCAACUCUGCCUGCUUGAAAAUUGUAAUCCCAUAAUAACUCGCCGAUUAUUCACGCUAUCGGUUGAAUUAUCUUCCAGGGU
rnacentral:rRNA from 1 species